UAAAACGUAGGUGGCGAGCGUUAUCCGGAUUUACUGGGCGUAAAGCGUGUGCAGAUGGGGUAACAAGUGGUGUAUGAAAUCGCUCAGCUUAACUGGGCGGGGUUAUGCCAGACUGUUAUUCUAGAGAACGGGAGAGGGACGUGGAAUUCCGGGUGUAGUGGUGAAAUGCGUAGAGAUCCGGAGGAACCCCUGAGGCGAAGGCGGCGUCCUGGCCCGAUUCUGACAUUCAGACACGACAGCAUGGGGAGCGAACGGGAUUAGAAACCCCGGUAGUCCAUGCCGUAAACGAUGUCAACUAGGCGCUGGGGGACUCAACCCCCUCGGUGCCGCAGCUAACGCGAUAAGUUGACCGCCUGGGGAGUACGGUCGCAAGGCUA
rnacentral:rRNA from 1 species